ACGCGGGGGGGCUGCGUGUUCUCAGGCGAGCGUGGAAAGCGCUUCUCGCAGGCAGGGAAGGACAAGGCACGUCGUGGGGUCUCCCCGUACGCUGCUUCGUCCCAGAUCCAAACCGGCUGUUGCUGCUCCUUUGCCUCUGCCUCUCGGGGGGCCGUAGCGCUCCUGCCAUAUCCAGGGGCGGCUCAGUAACAGACAGCAGACCAGACAGGCGACCGUCUCCUCGGCAGCAGCCUUGGCGGCAGGUAUUCCGUUGAUUCAAGAUGACUCCAUGGCUUAAACCAUUGCUGUUAGCCUGCAUUAUCUGCAUGGGGCAGAUACAAGCAGAAUUUUUCACUUCUAUAGGCCAGAUGACAGACCUCAUUUUUGCAGAAAAGGAUCUGGUACAGUCAUUAAAGGCAUAUAUCCAAGAAGAAGAAUCUAAGCUUUCUAAAAUUAAAAGUUGGGCUGAGAAGAUGGAAUCCGUAACGGUCAAGGCCACUUCAGACCCAGAGGGUUACCUUGCACAUCCUGUCAAUGCUUAUAAACUGGUGAAGCGUUUAAACACCGAAUGGCAGGAACUGGAGAACCUGGUUCUAGAGGAUGCAACCAAGGGUUUCAUUGCAAAUCUCACAAUUCAGCGUCAGUUCUUCCCAAGCGAAGAAGAUGAGACAGGAGCUGCCAAGGCCUUAAUGCGCUUGCAGGACACGUACAAGCUGGACCCUGAAACCAUUUCAAAAGGAGAAUUUCCUGGAACAAAGUACAGAUCAGUCCUGACAGUGGAUGACUGCUUUGGCAUGGGGAAAACGGCUUACAAUGAUGGUGAUUAUUACCACACGGUGCUGUGGAUGCAGCAGGCGCUGAAACAGCACGACGAUGGUGAAGAGACACUCGUCACGAAGGCAGAGAUCCUGGAUUACCUCAGUUAUGCCAUCUUUCAGCUCGGUGACAUUCGCAGGGCUAUGGAGCUCACGAGGCGGCUGAUUUCCCUUGAUCCCCAUCACGAGAGGGCGAGCAGCAACAUGCGAUACUUCGAGAAGCUGCUGGAGAAUGAAAAGGAGGCAAAGCCUUUCAAUGAGAGCUCUGACACAGUCGAGGCAACAACAAAUGGUGGGAUUUACGAAAGGCCUCAGGACUACCUGCCGGAGCGUGAAAUCUAUGAGGCCCUUUGCAGAGGAGAAGGUGUGAAAAUGACACCUCGAAGGCAGAAGAGGCUGUUUUGUAGGUACCACAAUGGAAACCAAAACCCCCACUUACUUAUAGCGCCAUUCAAAGAAGAAGAUGAAUGGGACAGUCCGCAUAUUGUCAGAUACUAUGAUGUCUUAUCAGAUGAAGAAAUAGAGAAGAUUAAGGAGCUGGCUAAACCAAAAUUGGCAAGAGCUACUGUACGUGAUCCCAAGACAGGUGUGCUAACGGUAGCCAACUAUCGGGUGUCUAAAAGUUCAUGGCUGGAGGAAGAUGAUGAUCUGGUUGUUGCCAAAGUGAAUCACCGAAUGGAGCACAUAACAGGAUUAACUACAAAAACAGCUGAAUUAUUGCAGGUUGCUAAUUAUGGCAUGGGAGGACAGUAUGAGCCACACUUCGACUUCUCAAGGAAAGAGGAACCUGAUGCUUUCAAGAGUUUAGGGACUGGGAAUCGUGUGGCCACUUUUUUAAAUUAUAUGAGCGAUGUAGAAGCUGGAGGUGCCACAGUUUUUCCAGAUUUUGGAGCUGCAAUUUGGCCCAAAAAGGGGACUGCUGUAUUUUGGUAUAACCUCUUCAGAAGUGGAGAAGGUGAUUACAGAACACGGCAUGCAGCGUGUCCGGUGUUAGUGGGGUGUAAAUGGGUAUCGAACAAGUGGUUUCAUGAGAGAGGAAAUGAGUUCUUAAGACCAUGCGGGACAACAGAAGUCGACUGAAAAAGGCUUUAAGUCCCACAUUGUGGAAGAUGUUUGCUAAAAAAAAGAAAAAUAGCAUCAAGCAAAAAACUGACAUACACAAAGAUCUGCAGGCUCACCAUAGCACAUGACAUAACGUGUCCAUGCUUUAUAGCAAUGUGUGUUCCAUAUGGCUGACACGCAAACAUUGAGAUGAAGUUGAGCGAGAUCCAAAACCACAACUUCAGGCUGAAAGCUCUUGGAAUGUCCUGCUGGCAAAACCAAAGGCACAUCUAUUAUCUUGUUAGAGUCCUAAAAAUGUUUGCUUGUUCAGCCGAAUGAUCAAGAAUAAUGAUCCGCUGAUGAUUCCACCAUUCUGCACUGCUGGACAGCCAGAAACUACUCUGUGAGAGAGAAAUGGGGGGGUACACAAGUUUGCCAUGCUUUCUGUUCCAGACAGUUGUGGCUUCACCUUGCUGCCUAUUUGUUAAUCAGCGUUUGUUUAACAAAUAUAAAGCAAAGGCAGAAAGUCAUCUCUUUAGACUAAUUAGGUUUACUUCAUUCUUGGUUCUCAUUUUACCAGGUCAGACUGGAAUCAACAUCCUGGGCUAAGGUCUUUUGCUUCCGUCUCCUCUUCCCAGGAGCAGACCUGUGUGUAGACUGGGAUUUUGUUCCACUCCCUUUGACAGAUAGCAAUCAGAGCUACUGAGCUGUAAGCUGGUCAUGAACUUGCAUAUCCCAAGCACCACACAUUUUUGGCAUCUGGUUCUUGGUGUGAGUAGGGGAGGGGGAGUAGGUCAUUGCUUAUCAAAAGGGUGUGAAAAUCCCAAAAGCAGUACAUUCAUAAGCUAUAACAGGGGAAAGAUAACAGCGACAAUAAUGCAGUGUGUUUGUUCUAUGUUGUCAUGUUUUAUUCUAAACAAUGAAAAAAUAAACAACAUCAAAUUAAAACAUAAAUAUAUAUAUUGAAGGCCUGUAGAAUCCCACACGUUUUGUUGUUGAGUUACAAAAACUGCCUCUCGGGAACUUUCACAAUCCCUGUUGCUGCGCCUCCAACAAGUGCGUGUUCCUAAACAUGGUAGCACCGACACCGCAGCAUCAUCCUUGCAGGCACUGAACACACCUGUGGGUUGGGAGGUGUAAAGCACACUUAACCACAGAACCUGCGUGCUCUGGGUGGGGUGCUCCUGUGGGCCCUCCAAACAUGGGUAACUCAGGGCCACAGCCCUCUGCUUAAAGAAGCAGCCAUCCAGCCAGAAAUGAUGUACUGGGGAACACCUCCUCUAUUUUACUCUAUUUUAAAUGUUUGAACUGCUGCUAGGUUUCACUCUAGGCCUUUCUUCAAGUUUAGAUUGUAAUUGUAAGCUUCACGUGUUAUAGUGUAAUGUAGGGUUUUUGGUUUCAUAAUGGAAGGCACAGCCUUGGGUUUGCAGGAGCUGGGCAGGACUGUCAUGGAUGGGAUGCUUUGGAGGGUGUUUAUUCAUAGGGCUGUCAUAAGAUCACACUGACUCAGUGGCAUGUAACAACCACAACAAUGCAUGACUUGUUAUGAGCUUUGGUUAUUGGGCGGUACAGGCAUGAAAUAAAUAAUAAAUGCAUAAAGUCUCCCACCCAUCCAAGCAAAGUUCCUUGAACAUUGCACAUGUGUGGGUGGGUAAUCCUAAAUCCCCAGUGAUUUGGGAUCCCAAAUCCCCUCCAUUUUUCAAUUUUUGCUGAAUUCUUAUCACCUUGGGCUCGGCAAAAUUUAGGGGGGUAGGCACCUUUGGAACUCUGUUUUCUAUCACUGGGGCUUCCCUCUAACUCUGCAAGUGCCCCCAUACUAACAGCACAUAGCUGGUGGGCUUCCAAGGACCUCUGAUCCCCCCACCCAGAAAAACAGGACAUUGCAUUGUGGAGAGGAUGGAAAGGGCCCCCCAUCCACAAAGCAAAACCUUGCUUUGCAAGCAGCUGUGUAGUCCCAACUUGCCGAUUUUGAGAGGUGCCUGCAAAGCGAGCGGAGCGGGGGGAGGUAUUUUACCCGCAGCUUGUGCUAGGCACCUCGCAGUGGGGUGGCUGCUGGCUAAGGCGGCGGAACAGCGGACACCUCAGUGCUCUGGCUGGGUCCUCUGGGAUACUUGCUGGAGGACUGAGGGGAGGGCAGGUGGCCGUGCAGCUGUGAUGGCCUGUGGGGCACAUCACAGCCCCGAGGCGGGCAGAGCACACUGCUCGGUUGCGUCAUGUGCGCACUGUCAUGCUUCAGCAGGCUGGAAGUAACUGUAUGAGUAAAUAAUGAACCCAAACAAAUAGACUUAUAAGACAGCAUCCUGUGCAUCUCAGCAAUGAGGCGCUGAGCAACGACACGGCAGCUGCGCUCAUUCUGGGUACAGAUUUCAAGUGGGCACACAAUUGGCGGCUUCUGUUAUCACAGAUUAUCUUAGUUUUUCUGCUGCUACUAAAUCUAUUAAUAUCCUCAAUGAAAACAGGUUAAGCAAGGUGGUUUUUCACAUCUCCUUCUCCAGUAACUGAGUCAAAAUACAUGAUAAAAAUAAUUUGGCAUGCUUUUUCAAGUAUUCUUGUCUUGCUUAAAUUAUAUUUCAAUGCUAGGUAAUUUCCUAACUGGAAGAAAUAUUUGGUUUGUUGCAUAGCGAUGGAAUUUGUUUCCACACAUUAGCAUUUGCAUUUUGGUUUAACUCACAGUGUCUUUGGAAAAAUUAAACCGAUUUGUGCCACAGGUGGGAGGAUCACAAAAUGAGCAAGCCAGUUUCAUGGAGCAUGUUUCAAGUAGUCUGCUGAAAGAACUUUGGUUAUAGGGCAGCCUACAAAGUCUAUCAUGGUGUAAUCCUAUGCAUGACUCAUACCAGUAGUAGUGGAUUAUUUAUUUAUUUAUUUAUUUAUUUAUAAAAUGUGUAUGCUGUCCAUUACUUGCAU